CUUAUGUCUGCUAGAAUUACCACAUUAAUUUCAGCAGCCAUAUUAAUUUUGGCAUGCACAGACCAACUAUUUUAGGCUGAAAUUAAUAUGGCUGCCGAAAUUAAUAUGGUAAUUUUGGGCAUAGAAAAAUAAA
rnacentral:pre_miRNA from 1 species